rnacentral:misc_RNA from 1 species
GGAAGUAAAAGUCGUAACAGGGUUUCCGUAGGUGAACCUGCGGAAGGAUCAUUAAAGAGAAUAUGCCCUUCGGGGUAGAUCUCCCACCCUUUGUUUAUAUUACCUUUGUUGCUUUGGCAGGCCCGUCUUCGGACCACCGGCUUCGGCUGGUCAGUGCUUGCCAGAGGACCCAAAACUCUUAUUAUUAAUGUCGUCUGAGUACUAUAUAAUAGUUAAAACUUUCAACAACGGAUCUCUUGGUUCUG